UUACACUCAACAGUGGCAUACCCUCAACUGUGGAUGAAUUGGUUGCAGCCAUCAAAGAACAAUUUGCCAUCACCACAGAAAUCAGUGUUCAGUACAAAGAUGAAGAGUUUGAUUACUUUUUCACCCUAACGACCACAAAGGAACUCAAAGAUAAAGACACACUGAAAGUAGUGUAUGUACCGCUAAACAUAACACUGACCCUUGUUCCCCAGGAAAGCUCCCCUGAUACCUCCAGUGUGUACUCUUUAUCCGAGUCUGUGACACACUGUGACGGCUCAGAUGAUACUGUGAUUCUGUCUCCUUCACCCUCUGAAAGGCAAAAUCCAUGGCCUGCUGUAUUUCCAAUUCCAACUUUCUCACACAACACUGAGCUGGCUUUGAGUCAAGGUAAUGAGAUUUAUUUAAGAGAUGGCACCCUACUGACAUCACCCAGUGUCAAAGCGGAUAUCUUGGAGCACCUGGCAGAGGCCAUGUUUUGCUACACAGCGUACCCCAAUGAUGCCCAGAGGUCUGCAGUAGCACAGGCACUAAUAGAAAAGCAUCCCUGUUUGAAGGAGCCUGGAUCUUUUAAUGGAAUUUAUGGGUGGUAACAAAGCCUAAAAUACAAAUGUGGAAACUAUCGUACCAAGCGUAAAGCAUUGGGAAGCCCUGAACUCCUGAUAAACUCAAUGAAAUACAAGAUGGGAGAUGACAGAAAACCUGCUAAAAACAUCAAGAAACCAAAGAGGGCAGAAGUAAAUUACCUGCCUCACCACCUUUCUGGUGAAACAGACAGCAGCCUUGAGAAUGUGAGGCUUGACCUAAUAGAAGCCAGCAAGAAAAGGGACGUCAAAAGCAUAAAUGACAUGAUGGCCAGGACAUAGAGCUGGAGAAGAAUGGAAGUGGUUGCCCAGUCCCCAGAUGUGGCAAAAUUAAAAGAAAGAUGGCCUGCCCUCUUUGAACCAUUCCAGUAUUAUUGAAGAAUUCCGAAGGUGUGCUGCAGUUCCACUAGAAUCAGUGUUUAUGUCCCAGCUGGACAAGUACACUCCAAAACUUCUCGACCUGUUUAGUGUGAAGGGUGGAGCGGUUAGUCAACGCAUCAAGAACUUGUUAAUGGAACUGAUACAGGCUCCAAGUACCUCUGUAGUGAAGAAGAGAGACGUGACUCUGAGAUGCCUCAUUGAAUACAUGGGAGAGAGUGGGCAAGAGCUCAUCUCUGACUACUAUGUAAGUAUUGUUUAAAAAGCAUAGUUGGACUUUUUUUGGGGAAAAGCACUUAUUCCUCAGAUAUCAAUCUUAUGUCUGUUUGAGUUUAGUACGGAGCUGGAGUUGGGGAUUGGUUAGCUUGUCUUAGAACAAAUACUAUAAUUG